GGGUUGUGAGGUUAAGCGACUAAGCGUACACGGUGGAUGCCCUGGCAGUCAGAGGCGAUGAAGGACGUGCUAAUCUGCGAAAAGCGUCGGUAAGGUGAUAUGAACCGUUAUAACCGGCGAUGUCCGAAUGGGGAAACCCAGUGCAAUUCGUUGCACUAUCGUUAACUGAAUACAUAGGUUAACGAGGCGAACCGGGGGAACUGAAACAUCUAAGUACCCCGAGGAAAAGAAAUCAACCGAGAUUCCCCCAGUAGCGGCGAGCGAACGGGGAGCAGCCCAGAGUCUGAAUCAGCUUGUGUGUUAGUGGAACGGUCUGGAAAGUCCGACGGUACAGGGUGAUAGUCCCGUACACCAAAAUGCACAGGUUGUGAACUCGAAGAGUAGGGCGGGACACGUGGUAUCCUGUCUGAAUAUGGGGGGACCAUCCUCCAAGGCUAAAUACUCCUGACUGACCGAUAGUGAACCAGUACCGUGAGGGAAAGGCGAAAAGAACCCCGGCGAGGGGAGUGAAAAGAACCUGAAACCGUGUACGUACAAGCAGUGGGAGCACCUUUAUGGUGUGACUGCGUACCUUUUGUAUAAUGGGUCAGCGACUUAUAUUCUGUAGCAAGGUUAACCGUAUAGGGGAGCCGCAGGGAAACCGAGUCUUAACUGGGCGUUAAGUUGCAGGGUAUAGACCCGAAACCCGGUGAUCUAGCCAUGGGCAGGUUGAAGGUUGGGUAACACUAACUGGAGGACCGAACCGACUAAUGUUGAAAAAUUAGCGGAUGACUUGUGGCUGGGGUGAAAGGCCAAUCAAACCGGGAGAUAGCUGGUUCUCCCCGAAAGCUAUUUAGGUAGCGCCUCGUGAACUCAUCUUCGGGGUAGAGCACUGUUUCGGCUAGGGGUCAUCCCGACUUACCAACCCGAUGCAAACUACGAAUACCGAAGAAUGUUAUCACGGGAGACACACGGCGGGUGCUAACGUCCGUCGUGAAGAGGGAAACAACCCAGACCGCCAGCUAAGGUCCCAAAGUCAUGGUUAAGUGGGAAACGAUGUGGGAAGGCACAGACAGCCAGGAUGUUGGCUUAGAAGCAGCCAUCAUUUAAAGAAAGCGUAAUAGCUCACUGGUCGAGUCGGCCUGCGCGGAAGAUGUAACGGGGCUAAACCAUGCACCGAAGCUGCGGCAGCGACACGAUGUGUUGUUGGGUAGGGGAGCGUUCUGUAAGCCUGCGAAGGUGACCUGUGAGGGUUGCUGGAGGUAUCAGAAGUGCGAAUGCUGACAUAAGUAACGAUAAAGCGGGUGAAAAGCCCGCUCGCCGGAAGACCAAGGGUUCCUGUCCAACGUUAAUCGGGGCAGGGUGAGUCGACCCCUAAGGCGAGGCCGAAAGGCGUAGUCGAUGGGAAACAGGUUAAUAUUCCUGUACUUGGUGUUACUGCGAAGGGGGGACGGAGAAGGCUAUGUUAGCCGGGCGACGGUUGUCCCGGUUUAAGCAUGUAGGCUGGUUAUCCAGGCAAAUCCGGAUAAUCAAGGCUGAGGUGUGAUGACGAGGCACUACGGUGCUGAAGUAACAAAUGCCCUGCUUCCAGGAAAAGCCUCUAAGCAUCAGGUAACAUCAAAUCGUACCCCAAACCGACACAGGUGGUCAGGUAGAGAAUACCAAGGCGCUUGAGAGAACUCGGGUGAAGGAACUAGGCAAAAUGGUGCCGUAACUUCGGGAGAAGGCACGCUGGUGUGUAGGUGAAGUCCCUGCGGAUGGAGCUGAGACCAGUCGAAGAUACCAGCUGGCUGCAACUGUUUAUUAAAAACACAGCACUGUGCAAACACGAAAGUGGACGUAUACGGUGUGACGCCUGCCCGGUGCCGGAAGGUUAAUUGAUGGGGUUAUCCGUAAGGAGAAGCUCUUGAUCGAAGCCCCGGUAAACGGCGGCCGUAACUAUACGGUCCUAAGGUAGCGAAAUUCCUUGUCGGGUAAGUUCCGACCUGCACGAAUGGCGUAAUGAUGGCCGGGCUGUCUCCACCCGAGACUCAGUGAAAUUGAACUCGCUGUGAAGAUGCAGUGUACCCGCGGCAAGACGGAAAGACCCCGUGAACCUUUACUAUAGCUUGACACUGAACAUUGAGCCUUGAUGUGUAGGAUAGGUGGGAGGCUUUGAAGCGUGGACGCCAGUCUGCGUGGAGCCAACCUUGAAAUACCACCCUUUAAUGUUUGAUGUUCUAACGUUGGCCCCUUACCGGGGUUGCGGACAGUGUCUGGUGGGUAGUUUGACUGGGGCGGUCUCCUCCCAAAGCGUAACGGAGGAGCACGAAGGUUAGCUAAUCCUGGUCGGACAUCAGGAGGUUAGUGCAAUGGCAUAAGCUAGCUUGACUGCGAGCGUGACGGCGCGAGCAGGUGCGAAAGCAGGUCAUAGUGAUCCGGUGGUUCUGAAUGGAAGGGCCAUCGCUCAACGGAUAAAAGGUACUCCGGGGAUAACAGGCUGAUACCGCCCAAGAGUUCAUAUCGACGGCGGUGUUUGGCACCUCGAUGUCGGCUCAUCACAUCCUGGGGCUGAAGUAGGUCCCAAGGGUAUGGCUGUUCGCCAUUUAAAGUGGUACGCGAGCUGGGUUUAGAACGUCGUGAGACAGUUCGGUCCCUAUCUGCCGUGGGCGCUGGAGAAUUGAGGGGGGCUGCUCCUAGUACGAGAGGACCGGGUGGACGCAUCACUGGUGUUCGGGUUGUCAUGCCAAUGGCACUGCCCGGUAGCUAAAUGCGGAAGAGAUAAGUGCUGAAAGCAUCUAAGCACGAAACUUGCCCCGAGAUGAGUUCUCCCUGAGACUUUAAGUCUCCUGAAGGAACGUUGAAGACGACGACGUUGAUAGGCCGGGUGUGUAAGCGCAGCGAUGCGUUGAGCUAACCGGUACUAAUGAACCGUGAGGCUUAACCUUACAACGCCGAAG
rnacentral:rRNA from 1 species